UAGUGGCAAUAAUCGCGGGGGAGGAAUCAUGUCAACAGUUAUUUUGUAGUGAAAAAACAAACCGACCAAAGUGAAAAAGUAACCACCUUUCCCAAUCCUCAUUGAUGACGAAGGACUGCUACGCAAUGUCCACGCACUGCUUGCUGCUUCUGCUUCCACUUGCUGCAAGAGAAUCGAGCCCGAGCUUUGACGAGCAGCGACCUUUUCCCCACCUGCGCUCCCGAAACCCACGUCGCAUCCUGCCCUCGAAUCCGCGCCAUUCCGUCCGAGCUCUCUCCUUCCGCUGCUAGAUCUUCGCGGCGAGGCCGCCGACGCAGAAUGCCGCACGGCCACAGCCGUCUGGGCGCCGGCGGCCGCUCCACGCCCUCGCCGCCCUCCUCGCCGCGGCCCCGCCACGGCCGGAACAAGAGCCUCGGUGGCGGCGGCGGCGGCGGCGGCAGGGGGCCGAAGAAGGGCCUCGUGGAGAAACUGGUGCUGGUGAUCGUGUCGGCGGUCUUUAGGCGGAGGGGCGUGCUCUUGUUCGCGCCGGUGUUGUACAUUGCGGGGAUGGUACUGUACAUGGGGUCUUUCGGGUUCGACGUCGGGGGGAGGAGGAGCGCGGACGGCCCUGCGCCUCCGGGAUCGGUGUACAGGAGUCCUCAGGUCUUCGAGAAGCUGUGGCCUUUGAUGGAGACCCAAAGCAAUUCCAGCUUUAACGCGUUGACCAUGGCAUGGAGUCCAACAUUACAUCAAAGUUGGAAGCCUUGUGGUAGCAUGACUAUCUCUCAAACAGGGUUCACACAAUUGCCAGAAUCGAAUGGUUUCCUUAUAAUUGAAGCAAAUGGCGGGUUGAACCAACAACGCUUGUCGAUAUGUGAUGCGGUGGCAGUAGCUGGACUGCUGAAUGCAACUCUGGUUAUACCUAUUUUUCAUCUGAACAGUGUUUGGCAAGAUUCCAGCAACUUCUCAGACAUAUUUGAUGAAGAUUUUUUCAUUGAUUCUCUCAAGAAUAAUGUAAAGAUAGUCAGAGAGCUCCCAGAAGAUAUGCUUCAGCGAUUUGACUAUAACAUAAGCAGCAUAGUAAAUUUGAGAGUAAAAGCUUGGUCCAGUCGUAACCAUUAUCUUGAAAAGGUCCUUCCGAGGAUAAAGGAACUCGGAGCUGUGCGCAUUGCCCCCUUUUCCAACAGAUUGGCAAAUGCAGUUCCUUCAACUGUACAAGGUCUCAGAUGCUUAGCCAAUUUUGAAGCGCUGAGGUUUGCAGAACCUAUAAGAGUUCUUGCUGAGAGGAUGGUUCAAAGAAUGAUUAGGAGAAGCUCAGAAGGUGGGGGCAGAUAUGUGUCAGUGCAUCUUCGAUUUGAGAAGGAUAUGGUUGCCUUUUCAUGCUGCGAAUAUGAUGGUGGAGAGGAGGAGAAACGUGAAAUGGAUAUUGCUCGAGAAAAAGGAUGGAGAGGAAAAUUUAGGAGAAAAGGAAGAGUGAUAAAACCUGGUGCAAAUCGGAUGGAUGGAAAAUGCCCUCUUACUCCACUGGAGGUGGGCAUGAUGCUUAGGGGUAUGGGUUUUGAUAACACCACUUUAGUAUAUGUAGCAGCAGGAAAAAUUUAUAAAGAAGAAAAGUUUAUAGCCCCUCUUAAGUUGAUGUUUCCUCACCUACAAACAAAGGAUACCCUUGCCACUCCCGAAGAACUUGCUCCAUUCAAGGGCUUUUCAUCCAGAUUGGCAGCUCUUGAUUAUUCAGUUUGCCUUCAUAGUGAGGUAUUUGUGACAACCCAAGGUGGAAACUUUCCUCACUUCUUGAUUGGCCAUAGACGGUACUUAUUUGGAGGCCAUGCCAAGACAAUUAGGCCCGACAAAAGGAAAUUGGCAUUGUUGUUUGAUAACCCGAAAAUCAGUGGUCUAGUUGGAAGGUGGGGGAUGUGGGUCAGAGGUUCAUUUGGAAUCUAAUCUGGGUCGAACUAUAAUGACUUAGAUGCUUUUUACUGGUAAACAAUGGAGAUAUCUGCUUAAGAUCCAUUACCGCUGAGCUGAUAUGAGAAUUGCAACUUAGCAGUUAAUUAGCUGUGCAGGUGGGAGAAUUUCAAGCGCCAGAUGCAAGAUAUGCUUCACCGAAGUGAUGUUAAGGGAAGUGAGCUCAGAAAGCCUGGGGGCUCACUAUACACUUUUCCCAUGCCAGAUUGCAUGUGUAAGCAAAACAAGAUGAGACAUAAACAGUGAUACAAGAAUAUCAAUCAUCUGAAAUAUUGUAAGGAUACGUGUCCUAUAGGUUACAAGUUUAUCACUCGU